rnacentral:rRNA from 1 species
CAAGUCGAACGGGGCAGGUUGGUAGCAAUAUCGAUCUGCUCAGUGGCGAACGGGUGCGUAACACGUGGAUAACAUUCCGGGAAGCGAGGGAUAGCCAGGGAAACUUGGAUUAAUACCUCAUGUGGUCGCAAGACUAAAGGCGCAAGCCGCUUCCUGAUUGGUCCGCGGCCUAUCAGCUAGUUGGCGGGGUAAAAGCCCACCAAGGCGACGACGGGUAGCUGGUCUUAGAGGACGACCAGCCACACUGGAACUGAGACACGGUCCAGACACCUACGGGUGGCAGCAGUCGAGAAUCUUUCACAAUGGGGGCAACCCUGAUGGAGCGACGCCGCGUGGAGGAUAAGGUCUUCGGAUUGUAAACUCCUGUCAUGCGAGAACAAAGCCUUAUGGGUGUGAUAGUAUCGCAAGAGGAAGAGACGGCUAACUCUGUGCCAGCAGCCGCGGUAAUACAGAGGUCUCAAGCGUUGUUCGGAAUCACUGGGCGUAAAGGGUGUGUAGGCGGCGUGAAAAGUCAGAUGUGAAAUCCAGAAGCUCAACUUCUGAAAUGCAUCCGAUACUGUCAUGCUGGAGGUCUGUAGAGGGGUCUGGAAUUCUCGGUGUAGCAGUGAAAUGCGUGGAUAUCGAGAGGAACACUUAUAGCGAAAGCAAGACCCUGGGCAGAGCCUGACGCUGAAACACGAAGGCCAGGGGAGCGAACGGGAUUAGAUACCCCGGUAGUCCUGGCAGUAAACGGUGCACGUUUGGUGUGGGGGGGAAUCGACCCCCUCCGUGCCGGAGCAAACGCGUUAAACGUGCCGCCUGGGAAGUACGGUCGCAAGAUUAAAACUCAAAGAAAUUGACGGGGACCCGCACAAGCGGUGGA